rnacentral:rRNA from 1 species
UACGUAGGGUGCAAGCGUUGUCCGGAAUUAUUGGGCGUAAAGAGCUCGUAGGCGGUCUGUCGCGUCUGCUGUGAAAACUCGGGGCUUAACCCCGGGCCUGCAGUGGGUACGGGGCAGACUAGAGUGCGGUAGGGGGAGACUGGAAUUCCUGGUGUAGCGGUGAAAUGCGCAGAUAUCAGGAGGAACACCGGUGGCGAAGGCGGGUCUCUGGGCCGUAACUGACGCUGAGGAGCGAAAGCGUGGGGAGCGAACAGG